GGGGGGGGCAAGCGUUGUUCGGAAUUACUGGGCGUAAAGGGCGCGUAGGUGGCCAACUAAGUCAGACGUGAAAUCCCUCGGCUUAACCGGGGAACUGCGUCUGAUACUGGAUGGCUUGAGUGUGGGAGAGGGAUGCGGAAUUCCAGGUGUAGCGGUGAAAUGUGUAGAUAUCUGGAGGAACACCGGUGGCGAAGGCGGCAUCCUGGACCACGACUGACACUGAAACGCGAAAGCCAGGGGAGCAAACGGGAUUAGAUACCCCGGUAGUCCUGGCCCUAAACGAUGAAUGCUUGGUGUGGCGGGUAUCGAUCCCUGCCGUGCCGAAGCUAACGCAUUAAGCAUUCCGCCUGGGGAGUACGGUCGCAAGGCUG
rnacentral:rRNA from 1 species